UGCGGAUUAGAGCAGUGGAAGCUCGUCUGCCUCAUAAGCAGAAGGUCAGGAGUUCGAAUCUCCUAUCCGCAA
rnacentral:tRNA from 3 species